rnacentral:rRNA from 1 species
CAGUAGCCGCGGGAAUACAGAGGGUGCGAGCGUUAAUCGGAUUUACUGGGCGUAAAGCGUGCGUAGGCAGCUUCUUAAGUCGGAUGUGAAAUCCCUGAGCUUAACUUAGGAAUUGCAUUCGAUACUGGGAAGCUAGAGUAUGGGAGAGGAUGGUAGAAUUCCAGGUGUAGCGGUGAAAUGCGUAGAGAUCUGGAGGAAUACCGAUGGCGAAGGCAGCCAUCUGGCCUAAUACUGACGCUGAGGUACGAAAGCAUGGGGAGCAAACAGGAUUAGAUACCCCCGUAGUCCCUGUCUCUUAUAC